rnacentral:rRNA from 1 species
UACGUAGGGGGCAAGCGUUAUCCGGAUUUACUGGGUGUAAAGGGAGCGUAGACGGCAGGGCAGGUCUGGAGUGAAAGGCAGGGGCCCAACCCCUGGACUGCUCUGGAAACUGUCCGGCUGGAGUGCAGGAGAGGUAAGUGGAAUUCCUAGUGUAGCGGUGAAAUGCGUAGAUAUUAGGAGGAACACCAGUGGCGAAGGCGGCUUACUGGACUGUAACUGACGUUGAGGCUCGAAAGCGUGGGGAGCAAACAGG